rnacentral:rRNA from 1 species
CCUACGGGUGGCUGCAGUGGGGAAUAUUGGACAAUGGGGGGAACCCUGAUCCAGCGACGCCGCGUGAGUGAAGAAGUAUUUCGGUAUGUAAAGCUCUAUCAGCAGGGAAGAAAGAAAUGACGGUACCUGACUAAGAAGCCCCGGCUAACUACGUGCCAGCAGCCGCGGUAAUACGUAGGGGGCAAGCGUUAUCCGGAUUUACUGGGUGUAAAGGGAGCGUAGACGGCGAUGCAAGCCAGGAGUGAAAGCCCGGGGCCCAACCCCGGGACUGUUCUUGGAACUGCGUGGCUGGAGUGCAGGAGGGGCAGGCGGAAUUCCUGGUGUAGCGGUGAAAUGCGUAGAUAUCAGGAGGAACACCAGUGGCGAAGGCGGCCUGCUGGACUGCAACUGACGUUGAGGCCCGAAAGCGUGGGGAGCAAACAGGAUUAGAUACCCCUGUAGUC